rnacentral:rRNA from 1 species
CCUACGGGAGGCUGCAGUGGGGAAUAUUGGACAAUGGGGGGAACCCUGAUCCAGCCAUGCCGCGUGUGUGAAGAAGGCCCUCGGGUUGUAAAGCACUUUCAGUGAGGAAGAACGCCUGGUGGUUAAUACCCAUCAGGAAAGACAUCACUCACAGAAGAAGCACCGGCUAACUCCGUGCCAGCAGCCGCGGUAAUACGGAGGGUGCGAGCGUUAAUCGGAAUUACUGGGCGUAAAGCGCGCGUAGGUGGCUUGAUAAGCCGGUUGUGAAAGCCCCGGGCUCAACCUGGGAACGGCAGCCGGAACUGUCAAGCUAGAGUGCAGGAGAGGAAGGUAGAAUUCCCGGUGUAGCGGUGAAAUGCGUAGAGAUCGGGAGGAAUACCAGUGGCGAAGGCGGCCUUCUGGACUGACACUGACACUGAGGUGCGAAAGCGUGGGUAGCAAACAGGAUUAGAUACCCCUGUAGUC